GCCAGCAUGGUGUAGUGGUUUGAGUGUUGGAUUAGGGCUCUGAAGAACAGGGUUCAAAUCCCCAUUCAGCCA